rnacentral:misc_RNA from 1 species
AGGACAUCCCCAGAGCCCUUCUACCCACGCCAAUACGCACGUCUCUGAACGUUUCUCCUCACCUUCUCUACUAACUUCUCGCGCGCCAUCGUUGCUUCACUGUGUCGUCUACGCCGACCUCCUCUUUCCUUUCUCCCCUUUUAGUGGUUUCCUUUUUUCAGCGGCAUUUCCCUUUUUUUUGCUUGGCGCUCCCAAUUCGUCCGUUUCUUGUCGAGCUGCCGAUGUGGAGCCCGAGCAACAAGAGGGACUCGCUCAUCAACAGCGACGACGCCCUCUUCCCUUUUCUCCUUCAUUUUCCUGGUUUACAUCCGCGUCAAAUGUUCAGCUCCUUCUUCUCAUCGCGCUCGCGCGGGUCGUGGAUUCCAGCCGUCGAUAUAUCGGAGCAGGACGACGGCUACACACUUGUUGCUGACCUGCCAGAAGUGAGAAAGGAGGACCUGCGUGUGUACACGGAGAGUUCGAGCAUCAUCUGCAUCUCUGGCAACCGCAAGCACAUCCUAAAGCAGGACGAGCACCAGCUGCUCGUUGCGGAGCGCGGCGCCGGCCGCUUUGAACGGUGCUUCGACCUCCCCACUUCCGUCGACAGCAGCAAAAUCAAGGCCAGCUUCAACGAUCAACAGCUGAAUGUGUCCAUUCCAAAACUGCGAAAUUCGAGGUCUGGAACGUCCAACACAGUCACCAUCGACUAACGGUGCUGCCAUACGGUGAGAUGAUGAGCGACCAGAAGCGGGAGGAGGAAAUGAAGAGGGACGCAGGCGGGUGCACCGGCUGACGCCGCGGAAUGCGAAGCCUCGCGUACGCCCUCCGACGGCUCUGUUGCAUCUGCCACAUCUUUUCGGGCUUCCGAUGGAACACUUGGUCACCGGUCUUCGACGCCAGCCCAACAUCGCCCAAAGCCGCGCUCACGGGACGAUAGGAGGCGAUGCUCGCCCAGCUGCGCACGGGUGCCUUGACCGUACUUCGGAUUCCUGCAGCGGCGGCUGGGUGGCGGCGACAGCAUGGAGUGCUGAGGGCGUGCGGCCUACUAGUGCGCUAGCGCUGUGGUGCUUGCGCGCCCGCCAGAGCCUCCGCCCCCGCCUUUGGAAGGCGCGCGGCCUCGGGAGAAGGUGGAGUGCCCCCUGCUGCCUCACACUCACGGCAGCGUCCGGCCUGUCGCGGUGCGUGCGGGCAGGCCAACCAGCCACGCCUCCUCCCUGUGGCAUCGACGGAAAGGGAGCGCGAGUGCAGCGAACCCCCUCCCCGGACAGCAACGUCGUGCUGAAGCAAAUCCCAAGGUCGGAAAGUGCGAGCACGCUGCAGCAUGCGCUGCCAGCCACAGCUGGCGUGCUGCGCCACAUCCAGUCACGGCAUGCAGAGGUCAGCCGAGCAGGAGUGAUGGGCGAAAGCGGCGCGAAGAGAUCCAUACCGAUCGACGCCGAGGCGCACGCGUGCGCAAGCAGGCGGCACCUCCUCCAUCCGACCGGGCCGGCCGAUGAGGCACGGAUGCCGGAAGCAGGACGAGAACACCCCCGAAUGGCACCAUCGAGCCCUCCAGGCUCCCAUGUGGAGAGCCGCCACGCCAUCCUAUGGGGUGCCGCGGCUCGAGGCAGCUGAGAGGGAGAAAAGCAUGGCAUACAGGCAGGUUGUGCCGGGUUUCAGAGGGCCAUGACCUGAGGCUGGCCCGCCCCCUCCUUGAACUCUCCCGGCAUGCGCCUCGGCCACGCCCUUAUUGUCCGCACGACGGGCGCCACCGCUCGCGCCCUCGAGCAGGAGCCCGGGCACGGACCGCGUGGAUCAAGGCAUGCAGCCCACGCGAGUCUCCGUGUGGCGUCGAUGGCGCAGCACGUGUGCGAAGAAGGGACGAAGGACGAAAAGAGCCCGCAAGGCGCAUGGCCCGAUCCGUCGGCAGGGCGGUUCGCCCUGGCUGGCCAGGGUUUCGCUGUAGCACAGCACACGUAGGUGAGCUGCAGUCUUAUGCGUAUCUUCACCGGCUUGCGCGUUGUAGAGUGACGCCUUGAGACGAAAAUGUCUCUGGUCUCGACGUGGUUCUGCAGUUUGUGUUCUCUCGUGUGUCGCGAAUUUUUUUUAGCGUUUUUAUUCUACAUUUAUGGGAGGGCCCUUGUCGUGUAAAGUUUUGGUGGUACUCGUUGUCGAAUAUAUCUGCAUCUCUCUCUAGCAGCGUUGUUAUCAUCGUACAUCAUCGUGCGCUGGACGUCUUUGUAUUGCCGUUUUGCACUCUACCUUUGCUGUCCGGCGAUGCACGCUUGCCGGUACCCCUGCCCCCUCCACCGUAUUAGCUGCAGUGCUCUUUCUGUCGUGUCGGUGAUGUUUCACAUAUGGCGUGUCGUAUCUGUUUUGUCGUUAUUAUUUCCCUUUUUUCGUUUCUCCGACCUCCGUCUGAACAUGAGCAGUUUUCGUCUGGGCUUUAUUGAUUUUUUUCCACAGUCUGCCCCUUUUAGCGCCUUCCUCCUCCCCCGCUCUGCCGGUCUCUUCGCUGUCCUACCCCCCCCCCUCCCUCAUUUUCUGCGCUCUGCGCCCUAUUCUCGUGUACACCAAGGUUGUCUUUGAUGCCAUCUUGCAUUGCUUUUUCCCUUCUUAUGAUUUCGCCUCUUUUGGCCCGUCGCACCUCAGCUCACGCAUGACAUCCUCCUUUUUUCCAGCAUGCGGUGCCUGCAUUGGUGUGUGGGCGUGGCAGAGAAAGGUGUAGGGAUAUUCACAGAGGGGCGCAGUGACUGAGACCAUGCCACCGUUCCCCGCUGCUACGCACCCCCACGCCUUUGCUUGUUUUGUGUGUGGUCGGAACGCAGAGGGUGUGGAGGUGCAUUCUCUGCUGCUCAUGCAUAAGGGAGAGCGCCAGUGGCGCGGUGCGAGGGGAACGCGAGGUGAAGCUAAAGGGCACUACACCACACACAUUUUGACACACACAGACAAAGGAGGAAGUCACGACACUCCGGCCGUGGGGCAUCGCUAUCGAAGUAGGCGAGGUGUCUUCAGUGUUUUGCUCCGCACAGCGGAUACGCAACGCUGGGCGCAUGCUGGCUUGCGUUCGCGUCAUACGCCCAACCUACGAUGCUGCGGUGUGGCCUGGCCUUCGCUGACACGGUGCGGUGACUUCGAUGGGCACUCAUGGAUGCAGGUGGAGGGACGCCAUUUGUGUGUUGGACGGCCCCCCUCUCCCAAUUCCGUUUCACAAGCCUCUUUUUUUUGCUCUCAUUCUCUUCUGCCUCUCUGUGCACUUCUUUCCUCGCCAUCCAACCUUCGACUAAAUCUCGGUUUCACCGCCCCCCUCCGUCUUGCACCCUCAUACCUCUGUACAUUCCCACUCCACCGGUGCUUGCACACACCCUCACACGCACCUUAUCGGCCUCACCAUUCUCGUUGUGGGCCCGUGUGCUCUCCUACGGUUUUCAUUCACGCGCCUCGUCGUCCCAUCGCUUCACCUCUUCUUGUGACACAUAG